rnacentral:piRNA from 1 species
GUAGAUGCAGAGGGAACAGCUCCUU